UUCUUUUCUAUUCUCUUCUUUUCUCUUCUUUUCUCUUCUUUUCUUUUCUCUUUUAUAAAAAAUCAUAAAAAAUCAUGUCAUCAAAAUCAUUUUCUAGAUUUCAUAACCAGAUUAAGAGCAUUUUCCAGAGUUUCCAAGAUUUACUUUCAGAAACAGCAAAUGACAUUUCCUUAAAAAAAUAAAAAGGGAGAGGAGAAAGAAAACCAUCCCUGAGAUGACAGAAUGCAACAGUAGGAGGCAAGCAUUCAGCUGGCAGUUACUUACUUCCUGGCAUGCAAUUUUAAUUAAGGAGUCAGCAUGUCUGCUACACAAGCACACAGGAGGCAGUAACUAAAAAUGACUGGGAAAAUGUCCAUGGAUAAAAAGAGCCAGUCUUCAGGACACAGAGGCUGAAUCAUAUCCUGCACUUCCAACAACCGUUAUUAAUCACAAAAAUAUCUUUCCAAAGAAAUACUGCAAAAUCCUUCACUGAAAUCUCAUUGUUGGCUGUUGGUUUCUCCACUGGCAAAUACUCAGAUGAAGCACUGAGAAAUGAAAAGGAGGGAGUUCAUGCACCUGCCUCGUUCUAUAUCCAUGUAUGUCAAUCUGAAAGGGCUGAGACUAAAAAUAAUUGGUGAAAGAAAAGCAAAUUAAUAUGAAAUGACUUAAAAUUAGGGCUCUGAGUUCUGUGGAGAAAAGAACUGGUCAGCUAAUCUCAGACUUGCUGUCUUUGUGUCACUUCCACUUAUUAAGAGUUUUUCAGUUGACAGGUAUGCAAUUUAUGCUUAGAUUUGAAUAAAAAUUGCAGGGUGAAUGCUAGAGAAGUACAAUGAAAUCAGAUGACUGAAUCAAAAGUUCUUCCAACUUUUUUUGUUUGUUUCUAUUAGUGCCUUUGAGUAGGCUCAUUAUGGGUUGAAAAGUUAUUUCUGAGAAAAUAUACAUGAGUUAGGAUGGAACUCUGAAAAAUCAGUCAUGAAUACCUUCAUUUUGAUGAGUUGCUUUCAUGAAUCAAAAUUGAUGGAACUGUUCAGAACAAGUUUGGAUCACAAGAGCUGCAUGAGGCUGUACACGGUCUGAGUUUUCUCUCCACAGUGACAGAGACCAGACCAUAAAGGCUAAUGACAAUACUUAAGAUUUUGAUGUCUUGCUCACAUGAACAAAAUUCAUGAGUGUUUUCUUUCUUUUUUUAUCUUACUGAGCAGAAGAGAAAAUAUCCUAGGUGUUGUUUUUUUUUUCCCCAUAACCUUGCGCAAUUCAGACGCUGAUAGAACAGCCUGAAGAUCUUUGUAAUUUGAACCAGCUGACAAUGAUCACUUCAGGAGCCCAGGCUCUUUGAAAAUUGCCAUAGUUUACUGACUGACAGUUGCUUCUCCUAUCUGUCUUAAACUGCAAAAUGCCCUAAAGGAAUUGCAGAAAGGGAAGCAUAAAGACUGAGUGAUAAGCUCUAUAUCAUUGCAGAAUUGCCAGGAGAGUAUUUAUAGCCAAAAAAGGAGAAGUUAAUAACCAGUAGCUUUCAGGCUACUCAUACUUGCUCCCAGACCACAGCCAUGACCGCGUCAGUACCGGUGGGUCAUUGUCUGCAAAACCUCUGCAACCCGCUGGUCCCUGAGGGAUACUUUGGGUCCAUGACAUUUGCCACCAGGUUUAAUGAGCUGAUGUUUCAUGGUUCUUUGUAAUAAAUAACUUGGUGCUCUAUUUUGAAGCAGGCUAAACCUUCAGCCAUCUUGCUGCUAGAUAAGCUGAACCAUCCUUUUGCCGGUCUCUCCCCCUUUCCUCUGGAAGGAGCCAUUUCAGAAGGUUGAAGCUGCAAAGUCAAAUAAACCUUCUGGGGAACUUUCCUUCUCUGCCUUUCUGAAAUGCUUUCUAAUUCACCAGGCAAGUGAAUUAGUUGUAACACCUACACUGUAGCUGGCUGAAAUGCAGUGAGAAGAAUUUAGUGCAGAAAAAAUCUUCACUCAGUUUCAAUACCGGACUUUGAAAUAUCUCAGCUUCUACUUCAGCCUGUAAUUUUGACUGAUGAACCUCACAUUUUGAUUUCCUUUGAACAGUGACCAUGGCUUUCAAGGGGAAAUAUUUAGCUUGUACAUGUAAAGAAGGGGCCAGUGUUCAAAAGCAACUACAAAACUGUUCUUGAUCAACUCAGCUGAAACCAACGGCAUGCCUGUAGUCUCUCUAUAUAAUUCUACAUGAAGACAUGAGAAAAAAAUCUAGAUGAAAUAAAGCUGCCUUCAGGCAGUUUUACUUCGCAAUGGAAGAGACGAUUCAACUGAUUGCUAUAUUGCAGACAGCAUGGUUCCUUGCUGCAUGGCAGGGAUAAUACUUAUUUUCAUAUGGAUGGGCUGUUCUUGAUUAAUUUCUUUGUGAUUGAAAGCUCAGGUAGGGCUCUGGAGACAUCACUUCUAUAACUGCUAAGCAGGGCCACACCAUGGUUAUCUAAGCAUGUGCUCAAAUGUGUGAUCUUUCACUGCAUUGAAUCAAUAGCAGCUCAGAGAUAAUGUUCGUUGCUGCUGAGGGCUGCAGGAGGAAGCUCAGGCCCUGUAGGGCCAUGAUGAGGGCAGAGAAGAGAGUCUGUCCAGUUCUGCUCUCCAGGUGUGUAGGGAGAAGAAAAGAGGGGAAACGAAAAAGAGCCCCAGUACUGCGAUAGCGGGAAUGUGGAGAGGUGGAUGAGAAAAAAUUGUGAAUGGCUUUGGAGGUUGAGGAGGUGUAUGGAGCUGAAGCUGAGUGCUGUCAUCUCUGAGGCUACAUGAGGUGCCUGUGGGGGUCUG
ensembl:lncRNA